AACGAACGCUGGCGGCGUGCCUAACACAUGCAAGUCGAACGGAGAUAAGAAGCUUGCUUCUUAUUUUAGUGGCGCACGGGUGAGUAACGCGUGGAUAAUCUACCUGAUGCUCUGGGAUAACAUCUCGAAAGGGGUGCUAAUACCGGAUAAGCCCACGAUCUCUUCGGAGAAUGCGGGAAAAGGAGGGGACCUUCGGGCCUUCCGACGUCAGAUGAGUCCGCGUCCCAUUAGCUAGUUGGCGGGGUAAUGGCCCACCAAGGCUACGAUGGGUAGCUGGUCUGAGAGGAUGAUCAGCCACACUGGAACUGAGACACGGUCCAGACUCCUACGGGAGGCAGCAGUGGGGAAUUUUGCGCAAUGGGGGAAACCCUGACGCAGCAACGCCGCGUGAGUGAUGAAGGCUUUCGGGUCGUAAAGCUCUGUCAGAAGGGAAGAAAUGUGGGUGGCUAAUAUCCAUUCUACUUGACGGUUCCUUCAAAGGAAGCACCGGCUAACUCCGUGCCAGCCGCCGCUGUAA
rnacentral:rRNA from 1 species